rnacentral:rRNA from 1 species
AACCUUUACAAUGCUGGCAACAGCGAUAAGGGGACCUCGAGUGCCACGAUACAAUCGUGGCUGUCUAGUUGCCUAAAAAGCAAUUGAUAGCAAGGGCCGGGCAAGACCGGUGCCAGCCGCCGCGGUAACACCGGCGGCUCGAGUGGUAACCGCUAUUAUUUGGUCUAAAGGGUCUGUAGCCGGCUUAGUCAGUCUUUUGAGAAAUCUGGCCGCUCAACGGUCAGGCGUUCAGGGGAUACUGCUAAAGCUCGAGACCGGGAGAGGUGAGAGGUACUUCAGGGGUAGGGGUGAAAUCUUGUAAUCCUUGAAGGACCACCAGUGGCGAAGGCGUCUCACCAGAACGGAUCUGACGGCAAGGGACGAAAGCUAGGGGCACGAACCGGA